CAAAGAGUUAACAAACAUUGUGACUUUAAAUUCUCUUUUAUUUUUCUAGUCUCCGAGGACUUUGUCUCCUACUCCAUCAGCAGAAGGGUACCAGGAUGUUCGGGAUCGGAUGAUCCAUCGGUCCACGAGCCAGGGCUCCAUCAACUCCCCUGUGUACAGCCGCCACAGCUACACUCCAACCACGUCCCGCUCUCCCCAGCAUUUCCACAGACCUGGUAAGGGUGACUGUUCCUGGAUUCACUCUAUAUAACAAACUAUGUUUCUGUGAUUUUUUCCCCUACUAUUGAUAGCACAUUGAAAAAUCAACGACUAAACAUUUCCAUCCCUCUCCCAGAGCAAAAUGAAAACUGGUAUCCAACUAUAUUUUAUGCUCUAUCUUUUCUUGAAACAUCAGUCAUCCUAAGCCUGUGUUCAUUUUGAUUUAUUAAAUAAUUAUAUUUUGACAGCG
rnacentral:lncRNA from 1 species